AGAGUUUGAUCCUGGCUCAGAGUGAACGCUGGCGGCGUGCCUAAUACAUGCAAGUCGAACGAUGAAGUCCUAGCUUGCUAGGAUGGAUUAGUGGCGCACGGGUGAGUAAUAUAUAGUUAAUCUGCCCUACACAGAGGAACAACAGUUGGAAACGGCUGCUAAUACCUCAUACUCCUAUUUGACAUAAGUUAAAUAGGGAAAGUCUUUUCGGUGUAGGAUGAGACUAUAUCGUAUCAGCUAGUUGGUAAGGUAAUGGCUUACCAAGGCUAUGACGCGUAACUGGUCUGAGAGGAUGAUCAGUCACAUUGGAACUGAGACACGGUCCAAACUCCUACGGGAGGCAGCAGUAAGGAAUAUUGCGCAAUGGGGGAAACCCUGACGCAGCAACGCCGCGUGGAGGAUGACACUUUUCGGAGCGUAAACUCCUUUUAUCAGGAAAGAAUAAUGACGGUACCUGAUGAAUAAGCACCGGCUAACUCCGUGCCAGCAGCCGCGGUAAUACGGGGGGUGCAAGCGUUACUCGGAAUCACUGGGCGUAAAGGACGCGUAGGCGGAUUAUCAAGUCUUUUGUGAAAUCUAGUGGCUUAACCACUAAACUGCUUAGGAAACUGAUAGUCUAGAGUAGGGGAGAGGUAGAUGGAAUUCUUGGUGUAGGGGUAAAAUCCGUAGAGAUCAAGAAGAAUACCCAUUGCGAAAGCGAUCUGCUGGAACCUAACUGACGCUGAGGCGUGAAAGCGUGGGUAGCAAACAGGAUUAGAUACCCUGGUAGUCCACGCCCUAAACGAUGUCGAUUAGCUGUUGGGCAGCAUGACUGCUUAGUAGCGAAGCUAACGCGUGAAAUCGACCGCCUGGGGAGUACGGUCGCAAGAUUAAAACUCAAAGGAAUUGACGGGGACCCGCACAAGCGGUGGAUGAUGUGGAUUAAUUCGAUGCAACGCGAAGAACCUUACCUGGUCUUGACAUGUACGGAACCCUCCAGAGACGGAGGGGUGCCUUCGGGAGCCGUAACACAGGUGCUGCAUGGCUGUCGUCAGCUCGUGUCGUGAGAUGUUGGGUUAAGUCCCGCAACGAGCGCAACCCUUGUCAUUAGUUGCCAUCAUUAAGUUGGGCACUCUAAUGAGACUGCCGGUGACAAGCCGGAGGAAGGUGGGGAUGACGUCAAGUCCUCAUGGCCCUUAUGACCAGGGCUUCACACGUCAUACAAUGGUCGGUACAGAGGGUAGCCAAGCCGCGAGGCGGAGCCAAUCUCACAAAACCGAUCGUAGUCCGGAUUGCACUCUGCAACUCGAGUGCAUGAAGUCGGAAUCGCUAGUAAUCGCAGGUCAGCAUACUGCGGUGAAUACGUUCCCGGGUCUUGUACACACCGCCCGUCACACCAUGGGAGUGGGGGAUACCAGAAGUAGGUAGGGUAACCGCAAGGAGCCCGCUUACCACGGUAUGCUUCAUGACUGGGGUGAAGUCGUAACAAGGUAGCCGUAGGGGAACCUGCGGCUG
rnacentral:rRNA from 1 species